rnacentral:rRNA from 1 species
GACGAACGCUGGCGGCGCGCUUAACACAUGCAAGUCGAGCGAAGCGGCUGACGGGUGAGUAACACGUGAGUAACCUGCCUUAGACCUUGGGAUAGCCUCGGGAAACCGGGAUUAAUACCAAAUGGUCUAAGAUGGACUCGCGUCCCAUUAGCUAGUGGGUGAGGUAACGGCCCACCAAGGCGACGAUGGGUAGCCGGCGUGAGAGGGUGAACGGCCACAUUGGAACUGAGAAACGGUCCAAACUCUGCGGGAGGCAGCAGUGGGGAAUAUUGCACAAUGGAGGGAACGCUGAUGCAGCGACGCCGCGUGAACGAAGAAGGCGUUCGAGUCGUAAAGUUCUUUUAUAUGGGAAGCGGUACCAUAAGAAAAAGCCCCGGCUAACUACGUGCCAGCAGCCGCGGUAAUAC